rnacentral:rRNA from 1 species
GGAAUAUUGGUCAAUGGCCGGAAGGCUGAACCAGCCAAGCCGCGUGAGGGAGGAAGGCGCAGAGCGUCGCAGACCUCUUUUGCCGGGGGACAAAAGGCCGGACGUGUCCGGUCCUGAGGGUACCCGGAGAAAAAGCAUCGGCUAACUCCGUGCCAGCAGCCGCGGUAAUACGGAGGAUGCGAGCGUUAUCCGGAUUCAUUGGGUUUAAAGGGAGCGUAGGCGGGUUGUUAAGUCAGUUGUGAAAGUUUGCGGCUCAACCGUAAAAUUGCAGUUGAUACUGGCAUCCUUGAGUACAGUAGAGGUAGGCGGAAUUCGUGGUGUAGCGGUGAAAUGCUUAGAUAUCACGAAGAACUCCGAUUGCGAAGGCAGCCUGCUGGACUGUAACUGACGCUGAUGCUCGAAAGUGUGGGUAUCAAACAG